AACCAGACAGCCCAGCAGCCGCGGGCUGAGCGGUCCCAGCGUAACCACAGGCCUCGCCGGCAGGGCCUCCCCUCGCCCGCCUCCCUCCGCCUCCGGCGCCGACCUCCCGGACCCGGGUCCCUUGGCCAUCCACCGUCCCGCAGGUGGGCAGCCGCUGGCCUGGGGGAUCUGAACGACUGGGGCUGGGAUCGGAGCAUCCUGUCUUCCCCUAGACCCUCAGGUUGCACCAGCAAGUUUAGAGGGUGGGUUCCCCCCCGACGCAGGCAACCCGCUCCCCCAAACCCAUAGCUGACUAAUCUGAUAUGACAAAAGCCCGUGAUGGAUUUGGUAUAUGUUAAUUCACAAUGCCCUUUCCUCCAGAAUUUAACUAUAAGUUAAUACACACCGGAAACCACGCGCAAACACGCUCGUUAAUGGGCUUAGGUAUUAGCGAGUCCUAACGAUGCAUACAAAUGUGCUCUGCCUCUGUAGGCCCCUCAAGAUUUAUGGGCCUUGAGCUCUCUGCCGCUGUAAACAAGGAGAAAAAAAAAGAGAGAGAAAGAGAGAGACUGGGAGGGAAGAGACAGAGGCCUGACUCGCCCCUCCAGGUUGUGGGAGAGAAGGGAUCUCUGCAAGUGGGUUCUUCCGUACUUUCCUUUCCUUACCAGCGCGUUGUGUGGGUUUUGAAAUCGGUUUGGGGGUGGUGUUUGCGCCUGAAUGCUGGUGUGCGUGGGCAGUGUGGUGUUUGUGCGCUGAGGUAGGAGGAUGCCAGCCUCCUGUGAAUAUAGCAGGAAUUUGUGGGCAUGUACCUGUGAGUGUGUGCACCACGCUAGGGGUGUGUGUGUGUAAGAGCACGUGUGACAAGCAGGCCUCCCUCUGGGCCAGGCUGCCGUCCCCUACCCCCCAACCCGGUGAACAGAUCUCUAACAACAAUCAUAAUAACAAUAAAUAAUAAAAACAGUAGUUAACAGUCCCUCCCUAGCAGGAUAGCAAUAAAAUGCGAGAGGAGAUGUUUUGAGGAGGGGACAGGGGAGGGAGUCAUGAUCACAGCAACCGAGGACAGACAAGAAAGGAAGGAAGGAAGUUAGCUUCUUCCUAUGCCCUUGGGGGGCUGGGUUGGGGAACCCCCUCCCCAGAUGAGGUCCUCCGGCCAGAGGAGGAGAAGGAGAGCCCGGAGGCCGCUCUGUCCUGCUUCUCUUUCUCGGCUUUUGCUUUGUGCGAUCAGGGGAGGAACCUCCAUACCGGGAUGGUUAGUGGCUUUGAGGACUCUUUGGAGGCCCUGUUUUAAAGAGGAGGCAAAGCGUGCAGGGUCAGGCCCUGCAGCGGCAGAGAGGGAUGAGGCGAUGACCACAGCCGGGGUCCAGGCCCGGAGAGCGGCCGAGGUGCCCGGGAGGACCAGCCGCCGGGCAGAGAUCUAAAAACAUUUAUGGCCUCGCCCGGAGAGAGGGGAGAGCGAGGUCGGCGCUCCGGUAGCCCAGGGAAAGUUGCCUUCCUGGGGUCUUUUCAAAAAAAAAAAAAAAAAAAAGAGAGUGAGUGAGAGAAAGAAGGGAGGGGUUGAGGCGCGUUGAAUUUUCCUUCGCGGGCUUGGAGCGGAGCGGAUUUCCGUAAAGGAAGAGAAGAUCACGGUCCCGGCUCCUUCCACGUCCGCCUCAUUCUAUCCAGGCCCUCUCCACUUGCCCGAGCUCUCGGCCACCGGGAGACUGACGCGGAAGGGGCAUCUGGGCUGCCCCCCACCAACUCCUGCCUGCUUUCCCCAAGUCCAGCGGCCUCCAGCUCUCUUUGGGGGGAAAACAGCAGUGCCCAGGCACCUCUGCACCGUGCUCUCAUCAGGAAUAUCUUACAAAGAAGAAGAAGAAGAAGAAAGGCGGCUUAGAUUCCUGUUUACAUGUAGUUCUACAGAUCCCUUCCUGUCUGGAGAGUUUAUUUAUAACUCCCACUAUAACUCUCUCUGUUUGGAGGCACUGGUGGCUCUGUUGACAGACUGAUGUCUAGAAAAUAUUGCUCUAUCUCUAACCAUACCUAAAUGUGCUGUGGUUGUAUUUACAGAUUUAUGCUUGAGGAAAAUAUAAUUAUUACCAUUGUAUUUGUACAUAUACAGUAGUUGUAAGAGCAGAUUUAUAUAUGGGAAAAUAUACGACUCUUUUCUAGCCAUCCAGCUUUAUGGACAUUUGAUAUCCUGACAGAUUAAUAUCUCUGAGCAGCUAUAUAGAUAAAUGUAUAUCAUUGGAAUUAUGUAUCAGGAGAUAUAUACUUAUUGAUUGUGAUAUAGAGUAGUUAGAGCAUUCACUUAGAGCCAUAUAUGGCUACGGAGAUAUUUCUAUAUUAUUAUCACUAUAUAUAGGCAUAUCUAUUUAUAACUGCAUAGUUAUAAAAAUAGACAUAAGUAAUUAUAGUCCUAUAUGUACAUGCUGCUAUCUCGCUAGAGUUAUAGACAUUUGCGAAUAUAACUCUAUAGAGAUAUCUGUAUGUAUAUAAGGGUGUAAUUAUCUCAUGAUGUGUGUGUAUUUGGGCUUAGGCCAGUCUAUCUCUGUACAGGCAUAUUUAUAUGCAGGGGCUGGGAGAGACUUGUUCACGGAAAUGUUUCCAGAGGGCCAACGGAGAGGCUGUAUAUGGCCAACAAGGAAACCAGCUACCAGAAUUCUUUACUUAUGGAGGAUGGAGUUACAAGAGGGUAAACAGAGCAUAGGAAGCCUCCAGGAGAGGAGGCAAAAGGAAGGAGAUUGGGGCUCGGCACAGAUAGUUAGGGAGGAAAGAGGUAAACAGCGGGCACCCACUGAAAGCGGAACCAGCUUUGUGAGGGGCUGGCGCAGGCGGGCAUGGGUCUUAAGGAAGGGGAGGCAUUGAACUGUCCUACCACCCAGAGAUACUCUCCACCGAGGGAGGGAGGGAGAAGGCCUUAAAGGGCCUUCGGUUUGGCUUUUAAUGCACCAAAGAUCGGCUACCGCCCAACCCCUCUCGCAAUCCUGGUGCAUUUCUCUUGAACCCUAAUUUUGGGGUCUCAAAGAGUAGGCUUUAGCGAUGAAGAAAUAUAGGAGGGACAGGGCAGGAAGUGGGGUGCACUUUUGCCACUUCUGCUCUCUGGUUUUAUGGCCAGAAAAUCGAGAUAAUGUGACCUAAUAAAGCUUGCUUUAGCCUGGG